rnacentral:rRNA from 1 species
CGCGUAGGCGGCUUGCCAAGUCAGGGGUGAAAUCUUUCGGCUCAACCGGAAAAGUGCCUUUGAUACUGGCGAGCUUGAGCGAGGUAGGGGCAUGUGGAACUUCCGGUGGAGCGGUGAAAUGCGUUGAUAUCGGAAGGAACGCCGGUGGCGAAAGCGACGUGCUGGACCUCUUCUGACGCUGAGGCGCGAAAGCUAGGGGAGCGAACG